rnacentral:antisense_RNA from 1 species
GGACCUCGCGCUGACAUCUGGGAAAUGCCAUUCAUACUGGAACCUCUGACACACUGCCAUGAAUGUGAGGGUUUCGUGACUGAUGGGGAGACUGCAGUCAAAUAAAACAGAUACUACACGCACUCGUCGGGGCAGCCGUACUGCAGCAGCACGUCGAUGCACUCCUGGCUGGAGGCCUGCCGGGCGUAGGCCAGCGCUGUGUUCCCGUGGGCAUCUCAGGCCAUGACGUCCACC